AUGUCAUGUAUAAAUAUUUUGCCCCAAAGAAAUCCCAUUUCCAUAGAGAUUUGGUUCAGUGCUUCUGAAUAUGUCUGAUGACUAAAUUUUAUCUUCACUAAAGGACUUAUUAUGCAAGGCAAACUUCAGCUUCAUUGAAAAGAUCCUUCAUUGUAUAAUCUAUCCACUGCAACGUAGAGGAAAAAUUAAGGAAUCAUUAAUAAGGAGUCAUGAUUUUGUCCAAUACGUUAUUUCUUUAACCCUGGAUUUGAAAGUAAGUUCACUAUUAGAGAAGUUGAAGAGGAUAUUGUUACACUGAAGCAGAAUUGUAUAGUUUAGUUUUUACAAAUUGUGUCAACACUCCCAGAAUGUAAUCAUCAGAGAAUCCAGUGUCAUCCUCCAGGUGGUUAGUAAAUUAUCACUAUCUUCAAGGAAUUCACUCUGUCAGUCAUAUUGUAACCCCAUUUAUUGAACCUUCUGUAUGCUAGGUGCUGCCAUUGCAGCUGUGGAUAAGACCACAGACCUCAUGGCGUUUACAUUCCAACAGGAAAAGUCAUAUUAUCAAAUUAAUCACUGGAGUGCUUAUUCAGAUAUUUUCAAUCCUAUGAAGGUCACCAGGUGAACAUAUAAAGAGAAGAACAGAUGCUUUCAAGAUGUCAGAGACUCUGAGACAAUGGUCAUCUGAGCCCUGAUGUGAAUUAUAAAGAAUCAAUCAGAGAAACUGGCUGCCAGACCUUCCAUCAGGAAGGUUAUGGCAUAUUCAAAGGGCAGAAGGAAGGCACUAGAAGAAAAAGCACUAGAAGAAGCUGGUAAGGUAAAUAUCAAGUGGUUAUAUAGGUUCUGAAAAGAAUAUUUCUUUAUACUCCAAAAAAGGGGAUCCUUAUUCUGACACGUGUAAAAAAUAUAGGAAGUGUUGAGAGAAGAGUUGGAAUUAAAAUCUCCUUACUGCUAAAUACAGGAUAAUAAAAAUCAUUUCUCAUAACAGCAUCUUACAUGGGCCUCAUUAUUGUGGUCAUUUAAUGAAUUCCUUGCAACACCUAAUGGAGAUCAAUUUAAGUAAUUAUUUGUUCACAGUCGAAAACAAUACAUCUAUUUGCAGCACAUAUGACUUUAGAGACCAAGAUUAUGAGGGUUGACAUAUAAAUUCAGCAUUGGUAUCUGAGGACAGUCAGAACUGUCUUGUGGUCAAAAUCUGAGGACCAAGAAGUCUUCUUGAAAGAAGGACUUUCUAAACCACUUUUUCAUGAGAACUAUUGGAUAGAAGGGAAGUCAUCCAUCCUCAUUAAGAAAAGUUGGGGCGGGGGUUCCCGUCGUGGUUCAUCGGAUUCGUUAACCACUGCGCCACGAGGGGAACUCCUAUUACUUACCUUUAAUAAGCAUUUUAUUCUACAUUGAAGUUGAUUUGGAGACCUCAGUUAUGUGGUUGGCCAUCGACUCUAAUGCAUUCAGUUGACAGUGAUUUCUAAAGAGUUCAGCCUUGUUUUCACCUCUCUUGUCUUGCAUAUUCUUUAAAUAGAUUUAAAUAAAUAAUGGUAACACCAUGAUUGCAAAGAUUAGGAAACUGAAUCUUACCUCGAUUUUGAUUUGUGUUUAAUAUUUGAAACGGAAAAAGACAGCAAACCAUGAGAUGUAAUAGUUUAGCAAAUUCAGAUUUUAGGUCAUUCAUGAAAUCAUUUACUGAAUGUGCCUAAUAUCUUUAACUUUGAAAUUUCUUCUUUUUGAGUUAAGUACUUGAUUCAAAAAUAAAGAAAAA
rnacentral:lncRNA from 1 species